CAGCCGCCGCGGUAAUACAGAGGGUGCGAGCGUUAAUCGGAUUUACUGGGCGUAAAGCGUGCGUAGGCGGCUUUUUAAGUCGGAUGUGAAAUCCCUGAGCUUAACUUAGGAAUUGCAUUCGAUACUGGGAAGCUAGAGUAUGGGAGAGGAUGGUAGAAUUCCAGGUGUAGCGGUGAAAUGCGUAGAGAUCUGGAGGAAUACCGAUGGCGAAGGCAGCCAUCUGGCCUAAUACUGACGCUGAGGUACGAAAGCAUGGGGAGCAAACAGGAUUAGAGACCCCCGUAGUCCCUGUCUCUUAUAU
rnacentral:rRNA from 1 species